CAUGUUUCCUUGUGGCUUUCCAUCUGUAUCCUAGAGACCUCCACUGGCCACUGUGGUUGGCUGCUUGGGAGUGUGUGAAGGCUGGAGGAAGGCUGAUCAAGGACCUGCUGCAUGGGUGUCUCCUGUUACUAUGUGCAGGAGACCAAGUUCAUGAUGCGGUCAGGCCACGGGAUGCUCUCGUACUGAGCCCACCAGCGGGACACCACCAGAGCCACGUAGAAACCUAGAGGAUGUUACCCAGACAUGGCUAUCCAACAGAGGCAAGGAUGUUAAUCGUUACGGGUCCUUGGGCUCUUCCCUGAAUGAUGGAGACAAAGAAGCCCAUCAAGGGACAAUUCAGACCUUACUGCUCGGCGGCAGCAGCAGCAGCGGAAGGCAGGUAAGUUUGUGUCCAGGCUCCUUAUCUAAGCAUCUCAGUGAAAGAUCCACAGUUAGGUGGGGACAGCUCAGGUCCCGGUCAGCUGGUGCUGUGGAGAGAAUCAGCAAAGUCUCUUUUGUUGGCCACUUGUCCUGGCUUUGGCUUUUCGGUGCUGGUCCUCCUUUGGGUUUCCCUGUCAUAACUCUCCCUGAGCCCCCUCUCGCAGGUUAUAUCGAAGGAACAGAGCUGGCACCUGCCCUGCCAAGGGCUCCCCAGCUGCACAAAUGCACCUUUCACUAGAGCCUCGUGUACAUUCAUGCCAUUUCCAUAUGUGCUUCUGGCCAGUGCAUGGGAUUAGAAGAGUGUUUUUUAACUGCCCUAGAGACUGCACACACAUGGGCCAUACAGAUGAGGAAUAUAUGCAACGACCCAUACAUUUGUUGGGGGCUGCUUACAGAAAGCUGGCUGUUUUCUUUAUGCUUUGGGUCUUGAAAGUGCUCAGGGAGACUCUUCGUUGCGUAAUUCAAAUACAGAUUCACUUUUUACCAAACAUGGAAAACUUCAGCUCUUGUCCAUGUAAAUAAUGGAUGUCACCCACCUCUAUGCAGUUCUGCUCCGGCACGGGAUAUGGGGCUUUUCCCAGUGCUUUUCCCUCCAGCCCUGAAUGGUUAAGGCAUUUCCCUGCCAGCCUGUGCGGGACUGCCCUGGGAUGUCACUCGGCAGCUGGCACACGCAAAGGACCAUUUGGGGUUGAGGUAUGUGGUGGUAGGUGACUCACCGUAGCGCCGGCACUGGCACACCGGAGCCGGUGUGAGGAGGAAGAGCCAUCCCCUGUGCGGCGCCCACACAGCCUGCUCCCCAGGGAGCCGCUGCCUGCACCUGCCUGCAUCCGCCUGCCUGAUCCGUCCGGACUAACCGUUGCACCUGGAUUUCGACUGUGAGAGUCCACAGCAACCAAGAUCCCGCAACAGCAAGCCUGCGUCAGGUGCGUUACCCACCGCGUGAGACGGCAAACAGACAGGAGCAGCUAUUGCUAUUGACACAGAACAAGCAGCCAGAGCGGACUGAUGGAGUGAGAGGAGGUCACAGAUAGGCAGGAAGGAAGAUAGAUCUUUGAAGGAAUCUAUUUGCUCCUGGGAGGACUAGAUACUUACAGUCACGGGCUCCUGAGCUGCGCUGGAGGCUGUGGAGGUUUGGUCCCACACGUGUCCUUGCUGGGUCCUUUGUGGCCCACGCCACGGCCCGCCUCCUCGUGCCCCCUUGGCUCAUGGGGGGAUUGAACCUGACAGACACGGUGUGCUAAGGAGCCUGAAACCCACUUGGGAGCUGCAGCCGGUCACUUGAUGCCGUAAUCCUUCCUCAUUACAAAAGAGACUCUGUUGUCUUUUGCCCUGUUCCCUUCUAAUCUUCUGAGUAAGCCCUGCGUGUUUAUAGAGGCGGCCGGGGGAGGGGGAGGCGGGGCUGGCUGCUCCGCAGCUGCUACUGCUAACUCCUGGCACAGCCAUGGCGGCUGCCAGAAGAGAGGCAUUUUUCCUCUAAUUCUUUCCUGUUUGGUUCCUUUCUCUGUGUCACAAUCUUACAGGAGCCCCAGGAGAUUAAGUAGGGCUGGAAUUUUCCACAAAGGCUAUAAAAUGUGUCACCCUUGGGGCCGUGCAGCCCUCUCUUCCCUGGGGAAGCUCCUAGCUCCUUAGGUUGGUGAAACACUUGGCCCAUGCCCUGCCUGGCUCUCAGGGGAUGUUUCUUUCUAACUCCAUGCUGUCUCUGCUGUCCUUGGGUGAGUUUGCCAGCUCUUCCAGCUGUGGUUUGGAUGCUGAGGACUCCCACUCUGCCACUGGCUCCCCGAGACUCUUUCCAUGUGUUCACUUUCUUUUCUGCUUGCUUAAUCCAGCAGCACUUGGGGGCUGUCGCUGCUCUUUCUUGCAUGGCCACCCUGGGAAACGCAGCUCCGUACCUUUGUCCUCAAGCCUCUGCCAAGCCAGGGAUCUCCUUCCCUCUGUCUCUCCAGGGUCUUCAGUCCCUUUUCUGCUCCCAAGCUGUCCCUCACAAUUGUGACCAUCCUUCUCUUCCACCAUCUCCUGCGAUCUCUCCUGUCCUGUUACAUGGAGGACAAUCAGGGGAUCAGGCCCAGCCAACAGGGAUUCAUGAAAGGCAGGUCUUG